GUUUUUGAAUAUGGUUUUGGUGCAAGUUUUGUAUGGUUUGGAGUUUAUAUGAAGGAGAUACAAGCGCUCAAAGUUAAGGUAUUGAUUUAGGAGCUAUUAUCACUCUUUUUGGCAUAACGCAUGCGUACAGAUCGCAAUUGAGGAUCGGCGAUUGCAAUUGGAGAGAGCACUUUUGCGACUACACUUUUCACGUACUGCUUACUAGAUUCCAAGUUGAAGUGAAGGAGUUAUUGGAUUUUGAAGUUAGGGCAUGAAAUCUAAGGGUAGUAAGUAACCCGAUUUGCUAGUGGUUGUCUCUUGAGCUAUAUCUUGAGUAAUUUGACAAGGUUUUGGCUCAA
rnacentral:lncRNA from 1 species